UACGGGGGGGGCAAGCGUUGCUCGGAAUUAUUGGGCGUAAAGCGCACGUAGGCGGUUCGUUAAGUCGGAUGUGAAAGCCCUCGGCUCAACUGAGGAAGUGCACCCGAAACUGGCGAGCUUGAGUACGAAAGAGGGUCGCGGAAUUCCCGGUGUAGAGGUGAAAUUCGUAGAUAUCGGGAGGAACACCGGUGGCGAAGGCGGCGACCUGGGUCGAUACUGACGCUGAGGUGCGAAAGCGUGGGGAGCAAACAGG
rnacentral:rRNA from 1 species